UAAUUGUAAAUAAAAAGCAGUUGCUUCUAACAACUGCUUAGCAGAACCGUUUAAGACGGUGGCAGAAAAUAACCGUUAAAAAAUA
rnacentral:sRNA from 1 species